GGUAAUACCCGCAGCCCAAGUGGUGGUCGAUUUUAUUGAGUCUAAAACGUUCGUAGCCGGUUUGGUAGAUCCUUGGGUAAAUCGAGAGGCUUAACCUUUCGAAUUCCGAGGAGACUGUUUAAACUUGGGACCGGGAGAGGCGAGAGGUACUUCUGGGUAGGGGUAAAUCCUGUAAUCCUAGAAGGACCACCGGUGGCGAAGGCGUCUCGCUAGAACGGAUCCGACGGUGAGGGACGAAGCCCUGGGUCGCAAACGGGAUUAGAUACCCCGGUAGUCCAGGGUGUAAACGCUGCAGACUUGGUGUUGGGGGCCCUACGGGGGCGUUCAGUGCCGGAGAGAAGUUGUUAAGUCUGCUACUUGGGGAGUACGUCCGCAAGGAUGAAACUUAAAGGAAUUGGCGGGGGAGCACCGCCAACGGGAGGAGCGUGCGGUUUAAUUGGAUUCAACACCGGAAACUCACCAGCGGCGACUGUUACAUGAAAGUCAGGCCGAUGACCUUACUAGAUUUUCAGAGGAGUGGUGCAUGG
rnacentral:rRNA from 1 species